AUUGAACGGCUGGCGGCAUGCUUAACACAUGCAAGUCGAACGGUAACAGGCCCUUCGGGGUGCUGACGAGUGGCGGACGGGUGNGUAACGCGUGGGAAUCUGCCUAGUAUGGGGGAUAGCCCGGAGAAAUCCGGAUUAAUACCGCAUACGCCCUACGGGGGAAAGCAGGGGAUCUUCGGACCUUGCGCUAUUAGAUGAGCCCGCGUCUGAUUUAGCUUGUUGGUGGGGUAAUGGCCUACCAAGGCGACGAUCAGUAGCUGGGUCUGAGAGGAUGAUCAGCCACACUGGGACUGAGACACGGCCCAGACUCCUACGGGAGGCAGCGGUGGGGAAUAUUGGACAAUGGGCGAAAGCCUGAUCCAGCAAUGCCGCGUGUGUGAAGAAGGCCUGCGGGUUGUAAAGCACUUUCAGUAGGGAAGAAAAGCCUAAGGUUAAUACCCUUGAGUCUUGACGUUACCUACAGAAGAAGCACCGGCUAACUCCGUG
rnacentral:rRNA from 1 species